rnacentral:rRNA from 1 species
CACCGCGGCCAUACGAGUGUUAGCCCAAGUGGACGGUCAACGGCGUAAAGGGUGGUUAGGGAACCCUAAAACUAAAGCUGAACACCCACAGAGCUGUUAUACGCAUCCGGCAGCAUGAAACCCCGCCACGAAAGUGACUUUAACCCAACCCGAACCCACGACAGCUAGGACA